rnacentral:rRNA from 1 species
AUCUAGCGAAACCACAGCCAAGGGAACGGGCUUGGGAGAAUCAGCGGGGAAAGAAGACCCUGUUGAGCUUGACUCUAGUCUGGCAUUGUAAGGAGACAUGAGAGGUGUAGCAUAAGUGGGAGAUCGUUUCGCGCGAUCGUCGCUGAAAAACCACUACUUUCAUUGUUUCAUUACUUACUCGGUUGGGCGGACACGGUGCGCGUCGAUAAUAUCGGCGGGCGCACGGUGUUUCGUUCCAAGCGUGCAGAGUGGUGACGUGGCG